rnacentral:misc_RNA from 1 species
CGUAAAGCACCACGGUAAACGUCACCAAACGUCACAUUAUUCCUAGUGUUCUGGUUGUUCGCGUGUUCCGUUCUUAUACAAGUUUAACGCGACCGUCAAUUAAAAAACGUUUUUCAAAAAUGUUUAUUACGUGUCUCCGUUUCCGAACGAAAUAUAAAUGUGUUUGAGUCGAUUUAUGUCACGAAUUAUUUGAAAUUCGCCAAAAACUUUUAUUUAUUGGAGAAACCGUUCGGUGUGGUGAUUGAAGAAAAAAAAAGUUGUUUGAUUUGAAAGCGUCGGACGCCCACCUUUUUUUAUAUGUAUUAAAGAUGCUUGCUGUAAUGGAAAAGCAACAAUCUGCUAGUUCGAGCAGCACUACUAGUGGAAGUAGUUCCACGGCGAUAUCUCCGGAAAACGGAGCUCACGCGAAGGAGUUUCUAUCUUCGGGUCGAACCGGACGUCGAAACGCGAUGCCAAAUAUACUCGGUGAACACGCGGUUGUGAGCAGCUCCGAUUUACCGGGUAGAUUACAAGCUUUGACGACGACUGAAAAACAAGAUGACGUCGAGAAAGAUGCAAAACCAGGACCGAGUUGUUCUAAAAGUUGAAUGGUUUUUGUGUUUGAACCAAGUUUUUGGGCGGAAAAAAAAUUUGUAUAAUGCCGAGAAUGGAUUGAGAUCGACCGGGUUGGAUUGAGGAAUGUCAAUUAAUUAACAAUUUAGAACGCCAAGAAAAAUAAAAUAAUCUAGUCCGCUUAGAUUAUAAAUUUUUGAUUAAGAAUCUCGUUUAAAUAAAUUUUAAUUCGUUUAUAAAGUUUAGAUCUGAUUUUUUUUUUGACUGAUUCAGUAAUUAAAUUUUUUUUAGAUGUAAAUUAGCCUAAAAGCAAAACGAAUGUUCUUGCCUGGUACAUUUUUAUUUUCGUUAUAACAGUUGAUUAGCAGUCAAUAAUACUUUAAUGUCUAUUAAUAGACAAACUUGGCUACCAAACAAAAUCGAAAUCAUCGCUCAUUAAAAUACAAAUGUGUAAACGUUUUGUUUAUUAUUAAAAAGCAAUAAAAAGAAUGAAGCAAAAACCUUUGUAAAUACCUAUUUAUCUAGAUGUGAUGUAUUAAUAGGUGUAUUUAUCUUUUUAUUUUGAUUCAAAAACGCAAAAAUAAAUUAUAUAUAACAUUAAUUGAUAUUAAAUUUGAGAAGUAUUAAUGGCCUAGUAAUGUAUAAUUAUUAUUUUUAUUGAUUCAACUUCGACUUUUUGUGAUAUUAGAAUCAAAAAGCCUAGUCAUUUGUAUUGCGUGAAUGUAUUUGUAUAAAUAAAAAUUUAAAAAGUCGGUUUUAAUUAA